GCUUUGAUAGUUUAAUAACAAAACUUCGGUCUUGUAAACCGGAAAUGAAAUUUUAUUUUCUCAAAUCA
rnacentral:tRNA from 1 species